GGAAGUGCAGAAUUUUUGGGAGACAGGUGGUAUUUUUGGAUGAAAAUGCAUGAUUUUCGAGAGAAAAGUGGUAUUUCUCGAGAGAAAAUGCGUGAUUUUUGGGGUGAAAGGGGUAUAUUUGGGGGAGAAAUGUGUUAUUUCCAGCGAAAAGUGGUAUUUUCAAGAAGGAAGUGCAGAAUUUUUGGGAGACAGGUGGUAUUUUUUGGAUGAAAAUGCAUGAUUUUCGAGAGAAAAGUGGUAUAUUUGGGGUAGAAAUGCGUUAUUACCCAGCGACAAGUGGUGUUUUUCGCGCAGAAAAUGCGUGAUUUUCGUGAGAAAAGUGGUAUUUCUCGAGAGAAAAUGCGUGAUUUUGGGGUGAAAGGUGGUAUAUUUGGGGUAGAAAUGUGUUAUUUCCCAGCGAAAAGUGGUAUUUUCAGGAAGGAAGUGCAGAAUUUUUGGGAGACAGGUGGUAUUUUCGGGGUGAAAAUGCAUGAUUUUCGAGAGAAAAGUGGUAUUUCUCGAGAGAAAAUGCGUGAUUUUGGGGUGAAAGGUGGUAUAUUUGGGGUAGAUGUGUUUUUCUCCAGCAAAAAGUGGUAUUUUCGGGUAGAAAAUGUGUGAUGUUUGGACAGAGGUGCUAUUUUUCGAGGGGGAAAGGCGUGAUUUUCAAACAAAAACUUGUAGUUUCGGAGUGACAAUGCAUGGUUUUCGUUAGCAAAGUCGUAUUUUCCUAAAGAAAAUGCGUGAUUUUCUUGUGAAAGGUGGUAUUUUCGGGGUGAAAAUGCAUGAUUUUCGAAAAAAAUGUGGUAUUUCUCAAGAGAAAAUGCGUGAUUUUGGGGUGAAAGGUGGUAUAUUUGGGGGAGAAAUGUGUCAUUUCCCAGCCAAAAGUGGUAUUUUCGGGUAGAAAAUGCGUGAUGUUUGGACAGAGGUGCGUUUUUUCAGGGGAAAUGCGUGAUUUUUGGGUGAAAAGGGGCAUUUACGGUAAGGAAAUGCAUUAUUUUCUGGCGACAUGGGGAAUUUACGAAGGGAAAAUGCGUGAUUUUCGGGCAAAAACUUGUAUUUUCGGAGUGACAGUGCAUGGUUUCCGUUAGAAAAGUUGUAUUUUCCAGAAGAAAAAGACUGAUUUUGGGGUGAAAUGGGGUUGUUUCGCGCAGAAAAUGCGUGAUUUUCGUGUGCAAGGUGGUACUUUCGGGAAGAAAAUGUGUGAUUUCCGUGAGAAAAGUGGUAGUUCUGGAGAGAAAACGCGUGAUUUUGGGGUGAAUGGUGCUAUUUUCUUGGCGAAAACGUGAUAUUUCUGUUUGAGAAGUGGUAUUUUCUGGAGGAAAAAGCGUAAUUUUCGACUGAAAGGUGGUACUUUCGGGGUGAAAAUGCGUGCUUUGUGAGUGAAGCGUGUUAUAUUUGGGGUAGAAAUGUGUUAUUUCCCAGCGAAAAGUGGUAUUUUCAGGAAGGAAGUGCAGAAUUUUUGGGAGACAGGUGGUAUUUUCGGAUGAAAAUGCAUGAUUUUCGAAAAAAAUGUGGUAUUUCUCAAGAGAAAAUGCGUGAUUUUGGGGUGAAAGGUGGUAUAUUUGGGGGAGAAAUGUGUUAUUUUCCAGCAAAAAGUGGUGUUUUUGGGAAGGAAGUGCAGAAUUUUUGAGAGACAGGUGGUAUUUUCGGGGUGAAAAUGCAUGGUUUUCGAAACAAAUGAGGUAUUUCUCGAGAGAAAAUGCGUGAUUUUGAGGUGAAAGGUGGUAUAUUUGGGGGAGAAUUGUGUUAUUUCCCAACGACAAGUGGUAUUUUUGGGUAGAUAAUGCGUGAUGUUUGGACAGAGGUGCUAUUUUUCGAGGGGGAAACUGCGUGAUUUUCAGGCGAAAACUUGUAUUUUCGGAGUGACAAAGCAUGGUUUUUGUUAGAAAAGUCAUAUUUUCCUAAAGAAAAUGCGUGAUUUUUGUGUGCAGGUUGGCAUUUUUGGGAAGAAAAUGCAUGAUUUUCGGGGGAAACGUGGUAUAUUUGGGGUAGAAAUGCGUUAUUACCCAGCGACAACUGGUGUUUUCGCGCAGAAAAUGCAUGAUUUUCGGGGGAAAAGUGGUAUUUCUCGAGAGAAAAUGAGUGAUUUUGUGGUGAAAGGUGGUAUAUUUGGGGGAGAAAUGUGUUAUUUCCCAGCCAAAAGUGGUAUUUUCGGGUAGAAAAUGCGUGAUGUUUGGACAGAGGUGCGUUUUUUCGGGGGGAAAUGUGUGAUUUUUGGGUGAAAAGGGGCAUUUACGGUAAGGAAAUGCAUUAUUUUCUGGCGACAUGGGGAAUUUACGAAGGGAAAAUGCGUGAUUUUCGGGCAAAAACUUGUAUUUUCGGAGUGACAAUGCAUGGAUUUCGUUAGAAAAGUUUUAUUUUCCGGAAGAAAAAGACAGAUUUUGGGGUGAAAUGGGGUUGUUUCGCGCAGAAAAUGCGUGAUUUUCGUGUGCAAGGUGGUACUUUCGGGAAGAAAAUGUGUGAUUUCCGUGAGAAAAGUGGUAGUUCUGGAGAGAAAACGCGUGAUUUUGGGGUGAAUGGUGCUAUUUUCUUGGCGAAAACGUGAUAUUUCUGUUUGAGAAGUGGUAUUUUCUGGAGGAAAAAGCGUAAUUUUUGGCUGAAAGGUGGUACUUUCGGGGUGAAAAUGCGUGCUUUGUGAGUGAAGCGUGUUAUAUUUGGGGUAGAAAUGUGUUAUUUCCCAGCGAAAAGUGGUUUUUUCGGGAAGGAAGUGCAGAAUUUUUGGGAGACAG
ensembl:lncRNA